UAGUCACACGGUGUACACCAUGUCACAAAACAGGUAGGGAUUCAUACCAAUGCUCCCCGGUCUCUUCCUUUUUACAUUUCAUUCCGUCCAGAACCCCAGCCCAUGGUAUAGUGCCGUCCCACAUUCAGGAUGGUUCUUCUUCCUCAGUUAAAAUAAUCUGAAGACUCCUUCAAAGACAUGCCUCAAAAUAUGUCUCCUAAGAGGCUCUAAAUCUCACCAGCUGACUGUGAAGAUGAAUCUGAUCAGCUGAUUGUGAAGAUCAGUUAACGCACAUGUUGAGGAGACUUUGAUAGCUGAGACGACCCAUGCUACAUGUGAUCUUAAAAGGCCCUUGGGGCUGUGCUUCAUAGGAAGAACAAGAGAGCCUGAGUGACAGCACAUCUGCUCCAACCUGGUCUACAGAAUGUUUGAAGGCUGCUGUUGAGACUCCCUACUCACUGAAGAAGACUUCUUUCAAAACACUGCCUCUCUUUUUUGUUUUCUUAGAAGGCUGAUAUGGAGCACCAUUCUUCAGACACAACAUGGAUGUAACUACCUUGAAAUUAGAGAAGUCAUAGAAGGAUGACAUGUACUUGGGGGGCGGAAGAGAGAGGGAGUGGUUGAAAUCUCAGUUGAGGACCCGAUGGCCCUCCCCGCUUUCUACAAUGAAAUGUGAAUUGUGAAUUGGAUGAGUCUCCUUCUGCCUUGAUUGGCCUUGAACCCUCUACUGACAUUGAAAAGGAUUCAGGCUUCUACAGUUUGGAAGGUCAGUUACUGAUGGUAUAUACUCUAGUAGUGUUUUCAGUGUAUUUUUCUUUGUUCUUUUCAUCCUUGUGGAAUUAUGACUCAAGAGCAAGCCCUUGGGGGCUGGGGAGAUGGCUCCAUGGGUAUAGUGCUUGCUAUGGAAGCAUAGGGACCUAAACAUGGUUUCUCAGCGCCCAAACAAAAGCCAUGCUCUGCAGCACAUGCCUGUACCCUAAUACUGGGGACUGGAGGAGGGGGAUCCCAGAGCCUUGUUGACCAAGCAGUAUAGACACAACCAUGAGGUUCAGGUUCAGUGGGAGACCUAAUCUCAAAAUGUCACAUGGAGAACUGACUGAGGAAGACUCUCUAAGAUCAGUUUCUGGCCACCACACCUGCCUACAUAGCCAAUUAUUCCUGCAGAGACAAGUGUACACACACACACACACACACACACACACACACACAGAGCAGCAAUAACACAAAAGAGCAAUCCGUUAACCACAGUUUUAGAGGUGUUUUGGACAGGAUGUUAACCUGAUGCUUUGGUUUUUCAUCUUUAUGCACACCUGGCCGAAUAUCUUUACAAUCUUUACAUACAUCUAGCUUCAACCAUUUCCCCACGACUCACAACAGUAGAUUUCACAUAAUUUUUGCUGGAGAACAUGGCAUAUUCUGACUAUUCCAGAAAAGCCCCAUUUUCUUAAUACAUGAAAAGCUGCUCCGACAUUGCAAGUGUCGUUUACAUUAUUACACUCUGGAAUUACUUUUGUUGGUAAGGCACUUCAAAGCACAUGCUCUCAAUUUCCAUAUUUGAAUGUGGGAAAUCCAGAUAUUCAGGUUUGGAGGAUUAUUUACCAAGAAGGAUAGAACUAAGGGCUGAGCACCAGGGUUUUGCUUUCAGCCCCAUGGGCUAUUUAGUUUGUUUUGAUUGACUUGUUGUUAUGAUGCAUGUCUCUGUGCACAUCUUCUUCACGCAUGGAACUUAUUUCUUCAUGCUUGAUUCCCAAGAGUGGGAUUAUUGGAUCCCGAGCUAUAAGCAUUUUUAGGUUUUUAGAGUCUUA